UACGUAGGGUGCGAGCGUUAAUCGGAAUUACUGGGCGUAAAGGGCGCGUAGGCGGCCUGUUAAGUCGGACGUGAAAUCCCUCGGCUCAACCGGGGAACUGCGUCCGAUACUGGCGGGCUUGAAUUCGGGAGAGGGAUGUGGAAUUCCAGGUGUAGCGGUGAAAUGCGUAGAUAUCUGGAGGAACACCGGUGGCGAAGGCGGCAUCCUGGACCGACAUUGACGCUGAGGCGCGAAAGCCAGGGGAGCAAACGGG
rnacentral:rRNA from 1 species